rnacentral:pre_miRNA from 1 species
GAAAGCUGCCAUUAUCGAUUGCACACGAGGUCUAAUCGAUAUUGGCAGCUUCCAUG